rnacentral:rRNA from 1 species
UGGGGAAUCUUGGACAAUGGGGGCAACCCUGAUCCAGCCAUGCCGCGUGAGUGAUGAAGGCCUUAGGGUCGUAAAGCUCUUUCGCCUGUGAAGAUAAUGACGGUAGCAGGUAAAGAAACCCCGGCUAACUCCGUGCCAGCAGCCGCGGUAAUACGGAGGGGGUUAGCGUUGUUCGGAAUUACUGGGCGUAAAGCGCACGUAGGCGGACCAGAAAGUUGGGGGUGAAAUCCCGGGGGGCUCAACCCCGGAACUGCCUCCAAAACUAUUGGUCUAGAGUUCGAGAGAGGUGAGUGGAAUUCCAAGUGUAGAGGUGAAAUUCGUAGAUAUUUGGAGGAACACCAGUGGCGAAGGCGGCUCACUGGCUCGAUACUGACGCUGAGGUGCGAAAGUGUGGGGAGCAAACAGGAUUAGAUACCCUGGUAGUCCACACCGUAAAACGAUGAAUGCCAGUCGUCGGGUAGCAUGCUAUUCGGUGACACACCUAACGGAUUAAGCAUUCCGG